GUUUAUUUUGGGAGUGUUUGCUGUAUAAUUGGACUUCAUAAAAAUGUUUAGAAGUGCAGUAGGCAUGACUUGAGUAGAUAA
ensembl:miRNA